ACAUUAGACGCCUCAUUAUUCAUCGGAGAUGCUACUUGAUUAGGGAGUCCUCCUUUGUUCCACAUUCGUAUUCACGGACAACUCAAAGCAGCUGUAUGAUCUUCAUUAUUUAACAAUGUCUGCUAGACAGAUUAUGUAUACUGAUAUAUAUUGAUGGUUUCGAACACCACAUCCAUUUCUAGGUACCAUGCAGUUUAUUUUGAUUCCAGCUAAAGCUAUAUUAUUGUCUUCUCUUUUUUGUUUUCUAAAAUAUAUUAUCAUGUUCUCGAUACCUUUUUUCUUUUCAUGGGUGAAUAAAUAUGUAUAGAGUUAUAUGCUCAGGUCUCAUAAAACUAUAUAAAAAACUUCUAGGGAUCAGUGAUGCGAAAGGGGGUUAUGCUAAUGAAAGUUCAUAUAAGGAACAUUGCUUAGAUAAUGAUGAGCAUACCCUUUGUUUCUACUCUCUCAAGGUAUAUUUUGGGCCUGAUUCUAGAUGUGCGUCGUUAGCCAGAUUUUGUCCUAGAAAUGAAGUAGUUGCAAAAAUCACAUUUCAAACAAUCUAGAGAGGUUAUGAAUAAACCAUCAAGUUCCAGAUCCUUUUGAAAAGUAUUGUCCUGCCAAAUGACCU